GCGGGCGUUAUCCGGAAUGAUUGGGCGUAAGGGUGCGUAGGCGGUACGGUAAGUCUGUAGUAAAAGGCGGCAGCUCAACUGUCGUAGGCUAUGGAAACUGUCGAACUAGAGUGCAGAAGAGGGCGAUGGAACUCCAUGUGUAGCGGUAAAAUGCGUAGAUAUAUGGAAGAACACCAGUGGCGAAGGCGGUCGCCUGGUCUGUAACUGACGCUGAAGCACGAAAGCGUGGGGAGCAAAUAGGAUUAGAUACCCUAGUAGUCCACGCCGUAAACGAUGAGAACUAAGUGUUGGGGGAAUAACUCAGUGCUGCAGUUAACGCAAUAAGUUCUCCGCCUGGGGAGUAUGCACGCAAGUGUGAAACUCAAAGGAAUUGACGGGGGCCCGCACAAGCGGUGGAGUAUGUGGUUUAAUUCGAAGCAACGCGAAGAACCUUACCAGGCCUUGACAUCCCCGGCGAAGACAUGGAGACAUGUCGGAGGUUAACCGGGAGACAGGUGGUGCAUGGUUGUCGUCAGCUCGUGUCGUGAGAUGUUGGGUUAAGUCCCGCAACGAGCGCAACCCUUGUGAUAUGUUACUAACAGUAAGAUGAGGACUCAUAUCAGACUGCCGGUGACAAACCGGAGGAAGGUGGGGAUGACGUCAAAUCAUCAUGCCCCUUAUGGCCUGGGCUACACACGUACUACAAUGGCGGCUACAAAGAGCGGCGAACCCGCGAGGGGGAGCGAAUCUCAUAAAGGUCGUCUCAGUUCGGAUUGAAGUCUGCAACCCGACUUCAUGAAGUUGGAAUCGCUAGUAAUCGCGAAUCAGCAUGUCGCGGUGAAUACGUUCUCGGGCCUUGUACACACCGCCCGUCAAACCAUGGGAGUUGGUAAUACCCGAAGCCGGUGGCAUAACCGCAAGGAGGAACCUCG
rnacentral:rRNA from 1 species